GCUUGUCUCAAAGAUUAAGCCAUGCAUGUGUAAGUAUCAGAAGUCUGAACUUCAAAACUGCGAAUGGCUCAUUAUAUCAGUUAUAGUUUAUUUGGCGAUAAAAACUACUUGGAUAACCGUAGUAAUUCUAGAGCUAAUACAUGCAUCAUCCCCCAUCUCGGGGUGUAUUUAUUAGAUGGAAACCAAUGCGGGGCAACCCGGAAUAUGGUGAAUCAUAAUAACUGUCGUAUCGAGCAAUCGAAGCGCCAUACAAGUUUCUGCCCUAUCAGCUUUGGAUGGUAGGGUAUUGGCCUACCAUGGCUUUAACGGGUAACGGAGAAUUAGGGUUCGAUUCCGGAGAGGGAGCCUGAGAAACGGCUACCACAUCCAAGGAAGGCAGCAGG
rnacentral:rRNA from 1 species